GCCCCAGUGGCCUAAUGGAUAAGGCACUGGCCUCCUAAGCCAAGGAUUGUGGGUUCAAGUCCCAUCUGGGGUG
rnacentral:tRNA from 1 species